rnacentral:rRNA from 1 species
GACGUAGGGUGCGAGCGUUGUCCGGAUUUAUUGGGCGUAAAGAGCUCGUAGGCGGUUUGUCGCGUCUGCCGUGAAAAUUCGAGGCUCAACCUCGAACUUGCGGUGGGUACGGGCAGACUAGAGUGUGGUAGGGGAGACUGGAAUUCCUGGUGUAGCGGUGAAAUGCGCAGAUAUCAGGAGGAACACCGAUGGCGAAGGCAGGUCUCUGGGCCACUACUGACGCUGAGAAGCGAAAGCGUGGGGAGCGAACAGG